rnacentral:rRNA from 1 species
AGAGUUUGAUCAUGGCUCAGGACGAACGCUGACGGUGUGCUUUAGACAUGCAAGUCGAACGAGAAAGCCCUUCGGGGUGAGUACAGUGGCGAACGGGUGAGUAACACGUGGGUAACCUACCCCUCGCAGGGGGAUAACCGGGGGAAACCCCGGCUAAUACCCCGUACGCUUGCCGGGUCGCAUGGCCCGGUAAGGAAAAGGUAGCUUCGGCCAUCCGGCGAGGGAUGGGCCCGCGGUGCAGUAGCUAGUUGGUGGGGUAACGGCCCACCAAGGCUACGAUGCAUAGCUGGUCUGAGAGGAUGAUCAGCCACACUGGGACUGAGACACGGCCCAGACUCCUACGGGAGGCAGCAGUCGGGAAUCUUGCGCAAUGGGCGAAAGCCUGACGCAGCAACACCGUGUGAGCGACGAAGGCCUUCGGGUCGUAAAGCUCUGUUGUUGGGGACGAAGGGCGAGGGGUUAAUAGCCCCUAGCUUGACGGUACCCUUCGAGGAAGCCCCGGCUAACUACGUGCCAGCAGCCGCGGUAAUACGUAGGGGGCGAGCGUUGUCCGGAAUUAUUGGGCGUAAAGAGCGUGUAGGCGGUUCGGUAAGUCUGCCGUGAAAACCUGGGGCUCAACCCCGGGCGUGCGGUGGAAACUGCCGGGCUAGAGGAUGGUAGAGGCGAGUGGAAUUCCCGGUGUAGCGGUGAAAUGCGCAGAUAUCGGGAGGAACACCAGUAGCGAAGGCGGCUCGCUGGGCCAUUCCUGACGCUGAGACGCGAAAGCUAGGGGAGCGAACAGGAUUAGAUACCCCCGUAGUCC